rnacentral:rRNA from 1 species
GGUGCUGCAUGGCUGUCGUCAGCUCGUGUCGUGAGAUGUUGGGUUAAGUCCCGUAACGAGCGCAACCCUUGUCCUUAGUUACCAGCACGUUAUGGUGGGCACUCUAAGGAGACUGCCGGUGACAAACCGGAGGAAGGUGGGGAUGACGUCAAGUCAUCAUGGCCCCUACGGCCUGGGCUACACACGUGCUACAAUGGUCGGUACAAAGGGUUGCCAAGCCGCGAGGUGGAGCUAAUCCCAUAAAACCGAUCGUAGUCCGGAUCGCAGUCUGCAACUCGACUGCGUGAAGUCGGAAUCGCUAGUAAUCGUGAAUCAGAAUGUCACGGUGAAUACGUUCCCGGGCCUU